rnacentral:rRNA from 1 species
AUUCGACCUGAGCUCAGGCAAGAGCACCCGCUGAACUUAAGCA